rnacentral:tRNA from 10 species
GCGGGUAUAGUUGAGUGGCUCAACGUUGCCUUCCCAAGGCAGAGACAGGGGUUCGAUCCCCCUUACCCGCUCUA